GUUUUAAUAAUUUAAUAAAAAUAUUGGUCUUGUAAACCAAACUUAAGAUUACCCUUUUAAAACA
rnacentral:tRNA from 4 species